rnacentral:tRNA from 1 species
GAGGGUGUAGCUCAGUGGUAGAGUGCCUGCCUAGCAUGCACGAGGUCCUGGGUUCAAUCCCCAGCGCCUCCA